CAGUGAACAAUUAAACGGCCGCGGUACCCUAACCGUGCAAAGGUNGCAUAAUCAUUUGUCUACUAAUUAUAGACCUGUAUGAAAGGCAAAAUGAGGGUUUAACUGUCUCUUAUAAUAAAUCAAUUAAACUGAUCCCCUAGUAAAAAAGCUAGAAUUCCAACAUAAGACCAGAAGACCCUGUGAAGCUUAAACUAAAAUAUUAAACCAAAUAAUAACUACUUUCGGUUGGGGCGACCUUGGAAAAAAAAAGAACUUCCAAAACAACAUUAACAUAAAUUAAUACAACCUAGGCCAACAAGCCAAUAAACGACCCAGCAAAGCUGAUAAAUGAACCAAGUUACUCCAGGGAUAACAGCGCAAUCCUCUUCAAGAGCCCAUAUCAAAAAGAGGGUUUACGACCUCGAUGUUGGAUCAGGACAUCCAAGUGGUGCAGAAGCUACUAAAGGUUCGUUUGUUCAACGAUUAACAGUCCUACGUGAU
rnacentral:rRNA from 1 species